rnacentral:rRNA from 1 species
AGGCUAAUACGUGAACGUAAAACCUGGCUGACCGGCAACGGGAGGUUGGGGGGCGUGCGACAUAUGCAAAAGAUAACUGGGAAUGGGUGCACGUUCAGACCGCCAUCCAAACGGUAGCGCUGGUUCGCCAGUGCGUCCGGGCGGCUCUCGCGUUGUGCUUCUGACCUAUCAACUAGAUGGCAGCGUAAGGGACAUGCUAUGGUGACAACGGUA